UGUAUCGUCUCAAAUCCAGUAUUUUAUGUUGGAAAAGUUCUCUGAUAUCCCACUGAACGAAGGCACCGCCAAACUCAGUGUGUAAACCAAAUCGAGUCGAAUCUCUUUUUUCAUUCAUGGAGUGAAAGUAUUUUGCAUACAGUCCCCUUGAAAAGCAUUUUGAACAUGUCAGGGAUUUCCAAGCAUUUUCUGAUUUCGAUGGACUCAACCUGCUUUCUUCUUUGUCUAAUUUCUAAGCAUUUUCUUUACCCCAGAUCGAAUCCAAUCUCAUUUUCCUUAUUCCUUUUUCUUUGAACCGACUGGCGCUUCUCUAAUUUCAAAGCGUUUUCUUUGUUACUUCGUGUAAAAGACUGAACCCGCCUGUACUAUCAUCUAUUUAAUUGAUUUAACCUUGCUCUUUCACAGAGACGCAUCCUCUGCAACCAAACCCUACUCGUACUCUCCUUUUUUAUUCUUAAGUUUUUGCAAAGGGUUAGCGUUUGAACUGGAAUCAAUGGAGUCUUCCUCAUCAUCUCACUGGCAAAAUCAGGGAUUUAAUGCUUUCUCUCGAACAGAACCUGACGGCAACCACAGAGGCCCUGAUGUCAAGCAAACUAUUGCUACUCAGCUUUACAACUCCCUUAAGAAGGUGGGUAUACGAGCAGUUCUUGAUUCAGAAGAGAAGGAACUUGGAGAUUCGUUUCCUUCUACCAUUGAGACUGCGAUUAAAUCUGCUUCAGUGCAUAUUGCCAUUUUUUCAAAAAGAUAUGAAGAGUCAGCUUGGUGUCUGGCUGAGCUGGUUCUUAUGCUACAAAGUAAGGCCAAGAUUAUGAAAAUGAGGAGAGGUACUGGGAGAAGCUGCCAAAGUGGAAGGAAGCACUUCAAUCUCUUUCAUUUGUGGCCGGGGAAGAAUUUAACGGACUGUGGAAACAUAAUAGCAGCAGUACAAAGAAAAACAUGUUUACAUGUUGCCACAUAUCCGGUAGGGCUUUACAAUCUUGUGGAAGAUUUUGAAAGGCGAUGCCUUGAUGAACUUGUACAAGAUUUUGAAAACGAGAUGCCUUGAUGAACUUGUACAAGAUUUUGAAAACGAGUGUCGGCUUGAAGAAGGAAAGCAUAGGGCUAAGGUUUUGGCAUUUUUUUUUUCAUGGGUGGUUCGGGGAAGACAACUCUUGCCAAAGAAUUCUUUAAUCGAAAGAGUUCGAAUUACUGUAGGGCAAGCUUUUGUUUGAUGUGCGAGAAGCCUAUGGGAGAAGCCAAUUGCGUUCUUUGCAAUUUCAGCUUCUCAAUGAUCUCUUCCAAGAUGAUCAUAUUGGCCUAACAAGUACAGAGAUAGGAACAAGCUAUCUCAAAGAUCGUGUGCAAAGGAGUCCCGUUUUAAGCUUCCUAAUUGUUGUAGAUGACAUUGAUCAUGUGGAGCAAUUAAAUGCUCUAAUGGUCAUGGAGAUAUGUUAAAAAAAUCUGGUAAUACUUUGGUUAUUGUUACAACACGUGAUGUUGGGGUCCUUAUAUCUGCAGGGAUUACUGCUGGUUAUAAUUUAAAAGGAAUGGAUAGAAAAUGGGAGAGAACUCUUCUGUUGGCAUGCAUUUGGCCAACCCAAUUCAUUUAGUGGCUAUGAAGUGCUUGACACCUUCGUUGAUGUGUGUGGAGGGUUGCCUCUAUCUCUUCAGGUUCUAGGUCGGCACGUUCAUGGCAGGCCUCUCAGUUUUUUGAGGUCAGCAUUGAUUGAAGCCAAUAAGACCCUGCCACGAGAAGUAAAGCAGACGCUGAGAAUAAGUUUUGAUGCAUUAAAUGGUGAAGAAAAACAAGUUUUUAUGGAUAUUGCUUGUUUUUUCAUUGGCAAGCCAAAGACCAUAGCCGAAAGAGUAUGGGAGGGUUCAGGAUGGAAGAAUGCUCAAUAUGUACAGGAAAGGCUCAAGGAUAAGUGCCUAGUAGAAGAAAUAGAAAUUUUGAGUCUGAAUGUACAUGAGGAAUUUGUUUUGAGAAUGCAUGACCACUUAAGGUAUUUGGGAAGAGAAAUGGCACUCGAGCUUUUAGGCCUCCUCAUCGCUUUUGCCAUCCCAAAGAUCUGAAACAUUUGGAAUCAACGGGUUUCAAAAGUAUCCUAGGCAAAACCCAUGUCAGGUGUUUCCAUUCCAUUUUUGACCAGUCCAUGAGUUGUCGAGUUACAUUCUUCUUAGGUCAACCGAAUUUUUCUGCUGAGACGUUUCCUUACUAAGGCCCGAACUUCAGGGCAAUUCCACAGAACAACCAUGCAUUCCUUCAUGGAUUUCUCUCCAAAAUGUGCAAUGUUUGAAAAUCAAACGCGAACGAGUCAAAACAUUGUGGGAGAAUCGCAUACAGGCAUCCUCCCAGUUGAAGGAACUGCAGAUUUCUCAAUCCCUUUUGGAGAAGAUUCCAGAUUUUCAGGGUUAUCAGACAAUUUUGAAAAUGUGGUCUUAGAUGCACGAGGAUGGCCAAUUCAAGGUUUAUCUUUACUAGAAUCUCUCAGUAUGAAUUUUUAUAGCAUAUGUGUCAGGUCUUCCACAUUAAAAGGGGAACAGGCUUCCACUAAAAUAGAAGGGAGGACUAGUGAAUCUUUGGUUAUCGCGAAUUUCAAAUUUAGUGGGGAAGUGGCAUGGAACAACAGAGGAAUGUCUAGCAGUGUUAGAGCUCCUAUGGGUGGCCUUGAAAAACUAGAGAUUAGUGGUGAAGAAUUCGUAUCCAAGAUCUUAAUUAGUGGAAUUCACUAUCCAAACCUCGAGUCUAUCAAACUUCAUUGCAUGAAAUUUUUUAGGGAAGUGGACUUAGUAGUAAGUAUAAAGACAUUAAUCUCUUGAUAAUACAAAUUGUAAACAUUUGAAAAUUUUGUCAGGAAUAUCAAAUCUUGCAAAUCUUGAGAUGUUGAAUAUUAUUCAAUGCCUACAGCUUGAGAAGCUAAGCCUUGGCCAUCUGAGCUGUCUGGAAAGGAUCACAAUUGUAGAUAAUAAGCAUUUGAAAAUUGUGUCAGAAGUUUAGAUCUCAGGAAUCUUGUCAAAUUGAAUGUUUGUGACUUUUUCAGUAGUGUGACAGGAGGAAACGGUUUUAUGACUAUUUGUGAAUGUCCGGAGCUAGAGGAGUUGCCAAGUUUUUCCAGCUCGAGCUGCUUGCAGAAAUUUGGCAUUGCAUCUUAUGGAAAGUUACAGAACAUUAUUCUGCCAACAAAAUUUAUCAAGCUGUCUGUAAAAAAUUGUAGAAAUUUGCAGAGAGCAGUAGGCAACAGUUAUCUUACAGAGUUUAACAGAAUUGUACAUUAAUGAGUGUCCUGAGCUUGAGGAGUUGCCAAGUUUUUGCAGCUCGAGCUGCUUACAGAAUAUUGACAUUGCGUCUUUUGGAAAGUUUCAGAACAUUAUACUGCCAACAAAACUCAUCAAGCUGUCUGUACAAAGUUGCAGAGAUUUGCAAAGAGUAGUAGGAACCGGCGAUCUUACAGAGCUAACAGAGUUGUACAUUAAUGAGUGCUCUGAACUUGAGGAGUUGCCAAGUUUUUUCUGCUUGAACUGCUUGCAGGAAAUUUUCAUCCUCUCUUGUGGGAGUUACAGAGCAUUAUACUGCUAACAAAACUCAUCAAGUUGUCUGUUAAAAACUGCAGGAAUUUGCAAAGAUCUUACAAAGCUAAAGGGGUUGUACAUUACUAAGUGUCCUGAGCUUGAGAAGCUACCAAGCUUUUCCAGCCUGUGCUACAUGGAGGAUAUGUGCAUUAGAUCUUGUGGAAAGUUACAGAACAUCAUGGUGCCAACAACACUCAUCAACUUAUUUGUAGAAAGUUGCACAGGUUUGCAAAAAGUAUCAGGAAUCAGUGAUCUUACAAAGCUUAGAAGCUUGGACAUUAAGGAUUGUCCUAAGCUUGAAGAGUUCCCGAGUCUUUCCAGAGUUAGCCGCUUGAGGAAAAUUGAGUUUGACUCUUCUGAGAAGUCGAAGAACAUGGUAGGCAUUGAAGAAUUGCAUUCACUAGAUUGUCUCAAAGUUUGUUAUUGCAGCAAUGCAGUAAUACAAAAUUGCAUUGAUAAGUUGAAGGUAAUGAUAUGGAUACUCCUUUUUAACAGGCAGUCGUAAAUCUAAUUCUGAAGUGAGUUUUUCUAAUUUGUUUUUGUUUGUCAUUUGUUCUGACAUGAUAGUCUUUAUUAUCAGAAGUGAUCUGUAAGUGAGAAGAAUUUACCGUGGAUGAUGUUUGAACUGAGAGUAUUUUGUCUUUUAUUUCAGAGUGUGCGGUUGCAACAGUGAGUUGUGAUUGAAAGAGUAGUGGAUGGAGCGGACUAAAGCUUAAAUGAAUAUCUGCUAUGUUAUUGGCACUAAUGCAGUCAUUGACAUUGUUGCUGAAAACGCUGAUGAUAAUGUAUUGAGUGCAAUUAUUAUAUGUUGUGUGCUUGUUGAUAGCUCUGCCUCGGUAAAGGAUAUAAAUAAAUCACUUGUGCCGUUAAAACUGUAUUACCAAGAGUUAAAACUGCGUGAAGGAGAAAUGGAUAAUAACAAUGGUGGGAAAUUUUUCCUUAUAUCGUUAUAAUACCAGGAAAAUUUCAGAUGUUUUGAGGAGUUACGGAAUAAUAAAGAAUUGGUAUCGGGUAGAGGCGAUGAAAGGUGAAGAGUGGAAAACUUUGCAAUUGUUAAAUACAAUUGUUGACAGAUUCCAUCAUUCAUGACUGGAAUGCAUUUAGAUGUUUCUUAUUGUUUAUUAUGGUGUGAACAAUUUUAUUGAAGAGAAAAAUAAUUUGACCUCUUAAAUUAUAGUAUUCAA